AAAUUAAUAUAAGAAAUUAGAUAUCCGAUGCGCAUCAAAGCAUAGCUAAUCCUGAACAUAAUCAUUCAAGUGAUGACCUUGGUCACCGACACAGAAGAACUUAGACUGUAUACUCGCAGUAUCUCAGGUUCAACAGAAGAACACAAUCAUUCAAGUGAUGACCUUAGUCACUAACUUGAUGGACAACUAAUGCAAAAGGAAAAGACAGUGUGUAUAUAGGUCCAAAUUUUAAUACGGCUCACUAGAAAAGAAGGGGUCACACAUGAGCAUACUCUUAUUCUGUGACUGUACUUGUAAUUUGCAAUUAACCACACGCAAAAGUGAACAUCAAAGGAUUAGGUGAAUAUAUAUAACUUCCUUGAGACGUAACAGAAAAGCAAGUGAUAUAAAGGAGAAAAAAUUCCCCUAAAGAAAAACUAACCCAAUCCCACAUCUACUAGGGAAAACAGGUUAGAUAUGUUACCAAAUGGUGAGGAUGAUUCGGAUCUUAUGCGUCUGGUGAAGGAGCUUCAAGCUUCUCUAAUGAAGAACGAUAAGCUGGAGAAGGAAAAUCACGAGCUGCGUCAAGAAGUGGCUCGCCUACGAGCACAAGUAAGCAAUCUUAAAGCACAUGAAAAUGAGAGGAAAUCAAUGUUAUGGAAGAAGUUGCAGAGCUCAUAUGAUGGUGGCAACACAGACGCAUCUAAUCUGAAAGCGCCAGAGAGUGUCAAAUCCAACACAAAGGGUCAUGAGGUAAAGAAUCCAAACCUGAAGCCAACGGUCAAAGAACAAUCUACAGCAAUAAAGCCGCCACCGCCUCCACCACUUCCAUCAAAGACAACACUUGGCAAAAGGUCCGUGCGCCGUGCUACAGAAGUUGUGGAGUUGUAUCGUGCCCUCACGAAGAGAGAGUCUCAUAUAGGCAACAAGAUCAAUCAGAACGGAGUCUCGUCUCCUGCAUUCAACGCAAACAUGAUUGGUGAGAUUGAGAACCGCUCCAAAUAUCUUUCAGAUAUCAAAUCAGACACUGACAGACACAGAGAACAUAUCCAUUUCCUAAUCAGUAAGGUGGAUGCUGCAACAUUUACAGACAUAUCAGAAGUGGAGACGUUUGUGAAAUGGAUAGACGACGAACUAUCUUCCUUGGUCGACGAAAGGGCAGUCCUAAAGCAUUUCCCUAAAUGGCCAGAACGUAAAGCAGAUUCACUAAGAGAAGCUGCUUGCAGCUACAGAGCGCUAAAGAGCCUUGAAACUGAGAUUUUGUCGUUCAAGGAAAAUCCAAAGGAACCUCUAAAGCAGGUCUUGCAAAAGAUUCAGUCGUUACAAGACAGGUUAGAAGAAGCUGUUAACAGCACAGAGAGAACAAGAGACAGUACAGGGAAGAGAUACAAGGACUUUCAGAUACCGUGGGAGUGGAUGCUCGACGCAGGAUUGAUCGGACAGCUAAAAUACAGCUCGCUGAGGCUAGCUCAGGCGUACAUGAAGCGAAUAACAAAGGAGCUGGAAUCAAAUGGAGGAGGUAAAGAAGGAAAUCUAUUGCUUCAAGGGGUCAGAUUUGCCUACACAAUACACCAGGUACCAAAAAAAAAAAAGAGUCAUAAAGUAAUCUGCUUAAUAAAAGCCAUGUUCAUGUCUAUUCAGUUAUUUCCUCAAUAUUUCAGUUUGCUGGCGGUUUUGACGAAGAAGCAUUACGCAUAUUUAACGAGCUAAAGAAGAUGGCUACAAGUGAAUCCCAGAAGAUAAAUAAGUAACGGUUCACAACUUUAAAAAAACUCCGAGUCGAUUUUGAGUAUUAAAAGACGCAUGUUGACUGGUGCAGCAGCAAGUAAGAGAGUGUGAAGUAUGUUGUAAUCUAGCUUUUAAGAUUACGCAUUAGACAUGUAAAAGACUAGAGCCUAAAUUAUUGUUCUAUAAUUCAAUCAAGUAUAUUGUUCUUGCAUAGAUAUUAAUGUCUACGUGUCUCGUUCUUCAUCUCAACGCAACCAGCACGGAAACGUAUCACACACUCCAAUCUAGAGACUAAAACUGGAAUUGAAACUUGCAGAUGCCAAUACA